rnacentral:rRNA from 1 species
UGACCUCAGAUCAGACAAGGAUACCGGCUGAACUUAAGCAUAUCAUAGG